UACAGAGGGGGCAAGCGUUGUUCGGAAUUACUGGGCGUAAAGCGCACGUAGGCGGGUUGUUAAGUCAGGGGUGAAAUCCCGGAGCUCAACUCCGGAACUGCCUUUGAUACUGGCAAUCUAGAGACUGGAAGAGGUUAGUGGAAUUCCCAGUGUAGAGGUGAAAUUCGUAGAUAUUGGGAAGAACACCAGUGGCGAAGGCGGCUAACUGGUCCAGUACUGACGCUGAGGUGCGAAAGCGUGGGGAGCGAACCGG
rnacentral:rRNA from 1 species